CUCUCCCAAGAUGGCGGCCAGGUCGCCUGCUCGGGCCUCCCAGGCGACUUUGCCCCACUGCGCCCGCGCUCUCUUCUCCUUUCCAUUUCUGGACCAAGGGGCUGCCAUAAGGAGUCUGUGACUAGAGAUGGGAGGUGGUGGCCACGGCCUCUCGCUGUAUGCUGUGUGGAAGGUCGAAUCAUCAUCAUCAUAAAACUUAAUAUUGCCCUUAUGUGCCAGGAACUACUGUAAGUGCAUUCCAUCUAAUACUUUAUUAAAAAUUCGCAAGGGGGUGGAGGUAGGUACUUAAAUCCAUUUUAGAGAUGAAGGAAUUGAGGCACAGAGGGGUAAAGUAACUUGCCUAAGAUCACACAGCUAGUAACGAGCGGUCAGUACUGGAAACCAAACAAGGUAACUCCACAGUUCACUAUUUUUUUUUUUUUUUUUUUUGAGACGGAGUCUUGCUCUGUCACCCUGGAGUGCAGUGGUGCGAUCUCGGCUCACUGCAACCUCUGCCUCCUGGGUUCAAGCGAUUCUCCUGCCUCAGCCUCCCAGCAGCUGGGAUUACAGGCGCCACCACACCUGGCUAGUUUUUCUAUUUUUAGUAGAGAUGGGGUUUCGCCAUGUUGCCCAGGCUGGUCUGGACCUCCUGACCUCAGGUGAUCCGCCCACCUCGGCCUCCCAAAGUGCUAGGAUUAUAGGCGUGAGCCCCCUUGCCCGGCCUAUAGUUCAUAAUCUUAAC
rnacentral:lncRNA from 10 species